AUUCCUACGGGAGGCAGCAGUGGGGAAUAUUGGACAAUGGACCAAAAGUCUGAUCCAGCAAUUCUGUGUGCACGAUGAAGGUCUUCGGAUCGUAAAGUGCUUUCAGUUGGGAAGAAGAAAGUGACGGUACCAACAGAAGAAGCGACGGCUAAAUACGUGCCAGCAGCCGCGGUAAUAAU
rnacentral:rRNA from 1 species